rnacentral:lncRNA from 1 species
GAAAAGGGAGUAAGCUUUAUAGCUUAGUAAGUUCCUACGCAAAUAAAAAGCAACUUAACCACAGAUUUAACAUACAAUUAUCAUAAUGAAAAUUGACAUGAAUAUUAUUAAGAUCUUAUAGUCAUAACUACUCAAUCAUAGCCUUACCAAGGGUUGAUCAUGUAACACCCCUAACCCGUAUCCGUCGUCGGAAAAGGGUUACAAGGCAUUACCGAAUAACACUCCCAUUUACAUACAUUUAUACAUUCA